UACGAAGGGGGCUAGCGUUGCUCGGAUUGACUGGGCGUAAAGGGCGCGUAGGCGGUUUGUACAGUCAGACGUGAAAUUCCUGGGCUCAACCUGGGGGCUGCGUUUGAUACGUGCGAGCUUGAGUUCGGAAGAGGGUCGUGGAAUUCCUGGUGUAGCGGUGAAAUGCGCAGAUAUCAGGAGGAACACCAACGGCGAAGGCAGCACUCUGGGCCGGUACUGACGCUGAGGAGCGAAAGCGUGGGGAGCAAACAGG
rnacentral:rRNA from 1 species